rnacentral:rRNA from 2 species
ACCUCAAAUCAGGUGGGACU